rnacentral:rRNA from 1 species
UAAGGGGGUUGCGAGCGUUAUUCGGAAUUAUUGGGCGUAAAGGGCGCGCAGGCGGUUGAAUAAGUCAGGUGUGAAAGCCAUUGGCUUAACCAAGGAAGUGCAUUUGAUACUAUUUGACUUGAGUAUGGGAGAGGGAAGUGGAAUUACUGGUGUAGAGGUGAAAUUCGUAGAUAUCAGGAGGAACACCGGUGGCGAAAGCGACUUCCUGGACCAAUACUGACGCUGAGGCGCGAAGGCGUGGGGAGCAAACAGG